rnacentral:misc_RNA from 1 species
GAUGAAGAACGUAGCGAAAUGCGAUAAGUAAUGUGAAUUGCAGAAUUCAGUGAAUCAUCGAAUCUUUGAACGCACAUUGCGCCCGCCAGUAUUCUGGCGGGCAUGCCAGUUCGAGCGUCAUUUCAACCCUCAGGCCCCCAGUGCCUGGUGUUGGGGAUCGGCCCAGCCUUCCUGUAAGGCCGCCGGCCCCGAAAUCUAGUGGCGGUCUCGCUGUAGUCCUCCUCUGCGUAGUAGCACAACCUCGCAGUUGGAACGCGGCGGUGGCCAUGCCGUUAAACACCCCACUUCUGAAAGUUGACCUCGGAUCAGGUAGGAAUACCCGCUGAACUUAAGCAUAUCAAUAAGCGGAGGA